GGGCAUUGUGGAGAUAAUCAACAGUAGGGAUGUCAAAGUUCAGGUAACUCGAUAUUUUGGCUCCUUCUUUUUGUCCCUGAGGAAUUAAUUGAAAGAGACAUGGUAGACCCACAGAUGUUGCUUUGGUGGGAAUCUGAUUCGACAAAGUCUGUAAGCUGAGCUGCUUUGGACGUGGCAGAAGGGUUGGCUCUUCAAGCCAGUUCUUUUCAGGACCCAUCCCAACCCACCCGAGUAUCCAGUGUCUUGCGCAUCUGUGAGCUUUUAAUGUAAUUGCUGAGUCACGUGAAACAGGAAAGCUUUUCCUGCGACGCACUGUUGUCCUCCCCAGCUGCUGGGACUCAGUUCUCUUUGUUUACUCUGCAGGUAAUGGGUAAAGUGCCAACCAUAUCCAUCAACAAAACAGAUGGCUGCCAUGCUUACCUGAGCAAGAAUUCCCUGGAUUGUGAAAUAGUCAGUGCCAAAUCUUCCGAGAUGAACGUCCUCAUUCCUACAGAAGGCGGUGACUUUAAUGAAUUCCCAGUUCCUGAGCAGUUCAAGACCCUAUGGAAUGGGCAGAAGUUGGUCACCACAGUGACAGAAAUUGCUGGAUAAGCGAAGUGCCACUGGGUUCUUUGCCCUCCCUUCACACCAUGGGAUAAAUCUGUAUCAAGACGAUUCUUUUCUAGAUUUCCUCUACCUUUCUGCUCUUAAAACUGCUUCUCUGCUCUGAGAAGCACAGCUACCUGCCUUCACUGAAAUAUA
rnacentral:sRNA from 1 species